UGGCGAACGGGUGAGUAACACGUGGGUGAUCUGCCCUGCACUUCGGGAUAAGCCUGGGAAACUGGGUCUAAUACCGGAUAGGACCACAUUUUGGAUGGUGUGGUGGAAAGUUUUUCGGUGUGGGAUGAGCUCGCGGCCUAUCAGCUUGUUGGUGGGGUAAUGGCCUACCAAGGCGACGACGGGUAGCCGGCCUGAGAGGGUGACCGGCCACACUGGGACUGAGACACGGCCCAG
rnacentral:rRNA from 1 species